GGCUGGUCCAAGUGUGGUGGUGUUUACAACUAACAGAUCACAGCCAGUUACAGAUCUCUUUGUUCCUUCUCUAUUCCCACCGCUUCACUUGACUACCCUUCA
rnacentral:Y_RNA from 1 species